GUUUGAUCCUGGCUCAGGACGAACGCUGGCGGCGUGCCUAACACAUGCAAGUCGAGCGGAGACAGUGAGUAGCUUGCUAUAAGCUGUUUUAGCGGCGGACGGGUGAGUAACGCGUGAGCAACCUUUCCCAGACAGGGGAAUAACACACCGAAAGGUGUACUAAUACCGCAUAAGACCACGGGAUCACAUGGUUCUGGGGUAAAAGAUUUAUCGGUUUGGGGUGGGCUCGCGUCCGAUUAGGUAGUUGGUGAGGUAACGGCCCACCAAGCCGACGAUCGGUAGCCGACCUGAGAGGGUGAUCGGCCACAUUGGGACUGAGACACGGCCCAAACUCCUACGGGAGGCAGCAGUGGGAAUAUUGGGCAAUGGAGGAAACUCUGACCCAGCAACGCCGCGUGGAGGAAGAAGGUUUUCGGAUCGUAAACUCCUGUCCUUGGAGACGAGUAGAAGACGGUAUCCAAGGAGGAAGCCCCGGCUAACUACGUGCCAGCAGCCGCGGUAAUACGUAGGGGGCAAGCGUUGUCCGGAAUAAUUGGGCGUAAAGGGCGCGUAGGCGGCUCGGUAAGUCUGGAGUGAAAGUCCUGCUUUUAAGGUGGGAAUUGCUUUGGAUACUGUCGGGCUUGAGUGCAGGAGAGGUUAGUGGAAUUCCCAGUGUAGCGGUGAAAUGCGUAGAGAUUGGGAGGAACACCAGUGGCGAAGGCGACUAACUGGACUGUAACUGACGCUGAGGCGCGAAAGUGUGGGGAGCAAACAGGAUUAGAUACCCUGGUAGUCCACACUGUAAACGAUGAAUGCUAGGUGUAGGGGGUAUCGACCCCUUCUGUGCCGCAGUCAACACAAUAAGCAUUCCGCCUGGGGAGUACGGCCGCAAGGUUGAAACUCAAAGGAAUUGACGGGGGCCCGCACAAGCAGCGGAGCAUGUGGUUUAAUUCGACGCAACGCGAAGAACCUUACCAGGUCUUGACAUCCACUUAAACUUACAGAGAUGUAAGGUGUGCUUGCACAAAGUGAGACAGGUGGUGCAUGGUUGUCGUCAGCUCGUGUCGUGAGAUGUUGGGUUAAGUCCCGCAACGAGCGCAACCCUUAUCUUCAGUUACUAACGCGUGAGGGUGAGGACUCUGAAGAGACUGCCGGGGACAACUCGGAGGAAGGUGGGGACGACGUCAAAUCAUCAUGCCCCUUAUGACCUGGGCUACACACGUGCUACAAUGGCCACGACAGAGAGAAGCGAAAUCGCAAGGUAGAGCGGAACUCAAAAAAGUGGUCCCAGUUCGGAUUGUGGGCUGCAACCCGCCCACAUGAAGUCGGAGUUGCUAGUAAUCGCGGAUCAGCAUGCCGCGGUGAAUACGUUCCCGGGCCUUGUACACACCGCCCGUCACACCAUGGGAGUUGGGAGUGCCCAAAGCCGGUGAGGCAACCGCAAGGAGCCAGCCGUCUAAGGCAAGACCAAUGACUGGGGUGAAGUCGGAACAAGGUA
rnacentral:rRNA from 1 species